GGGUGUAAAGGGCGUGUAGGCGGAGAUGCAAGUCAGGAGUGAAAUCCCGGGGCUCAACCCCGGAACUGCUUUUGAAACUGCAUCCCUUGAGUAUCGGAGAGGCAAGCGGAAUUCCUAGUGUAGCGGUGAAAUGCGUAGAUAUUAGGAGGAACACCAGUGGCGAAGGCGGCUUGCUGGACGACAACUGACGCUGAGGCGCGAAAGCGUGGGGAGCAAACAGGAUUAGAUACCCUGGUAGUCCACGCUGUAAACGAUGAAUACUAGGUGUGGGAGGACUGACCCCUUCCGUGCCGCAGUUAACACAAUAAGUAUUCCACCUGGGGAGUACGACCGCAAGGUUGAAACUCAAAGGAAUUGACGGGGGCCCGCACAAGCAGUGGAUUAUGUGGUUUAAUUCGACGCAACGCGAAGAACCUUACCAGGGUUUGACAUCCAACUAACGAAGUAGAGAUACAUUAGGUGCCCUUCGGGGAAAGUUGAGACAGGUGGUGCAUGGUUGUCGUCAGCUCGUGUCGUGAGAUGUUGGGUUAAGUCCCGCAACGAGCGCAACCCCUAUUGUUAGUUGCUACGCAAGAGCACUCUAGCGAGACUGCCGUUGACAAAACGGAGGAAGGCGGGGACGACGUCAAAUCAUCAUGCCCCUUAUAUCCUGGGCUACACACGUAAUACAAUGGUGGUUAACAGAGGGAGGCAAUGCCGCGAGGCGGAGCAAAUCCCUAAAAGCCAUCUCAGUUCGGAUUGCAGGCUGCAACUCGCCUGCAUGAAGCUGGAAUUGCUAGUAAUCGCGGAUCA
rnacentral:rRNA from 1 species